rnacentral:rRNA from 1 species
UGGGGAAUAUUGGACAAUGGGCGCAAGCCUGAUCCAGCCAUGCCGCGUGAGUGAUGAAGGCCCUAGGGUUGUAAAGCUCUUUCACCGGUGAAGAUAAUGACGGUAACCGGAGAAGAAGCCCCGGCUAACUUCGUGCCAGCAGCCGCGGUAAUACGAAGGGGGCUAGCGUUGUUCGGAUUUACUGGGCGUAAAGCGCACGUAGGCGGACUAUUAAGUCAGGGGUGAAAUCCCGGGGCUCAACCCCGGAACGGCCUUUGAUACUGGUAGUCUUGAGUUCGAGAGAGGGGAGUGGAAUGCCGAGUGUAGAGGUGAAAUUCGUGGAUAUUCGGAGGAACACCAGUGGCGAAGGCGGCUCACUGGCUGGAUACUGACGCUGAGGUGCGAAAGCGUGGGGAGCAAACAGG